UUUCCGUAGGUGAACCUGCGGAAGGAUCAUUAUUAUAUAACCGAGCUGCGAAGACUAUCGAUAACCCGAAAGCACGUAAACGCCCGAGUGCCCUUACAUACAAAAAUCUUAUUUUUAUGUGCACCACCGAGUGGGUCCCCCUUUGGUUUGUUCGGAGGAGAGAUUACGAUUUCACACAAACUUUGUAUGCACUUUAGAAUGUAUUUUUUUUUUUUGCUAUCAAGCAAUUAAUACAAAUUUCAACAAAGGAAAUAUUGGUUCUGACAUCGAUGAAGAACC
rnacentral:misc_RNA from 1 species